UUGUAACAGACAAUUGCAACAUUUUUUAGCUGUGUUAUGUCUGCUAUUGGAGGAAACAGUGCUGGUCCUGGCAAUGCUGUGGUUAAUGUGUACAUCAAGCACGAGAAGAAGUUUGCUUUUGUGGAUAUGAGAAAUGUUGAAGAAGGAAGACGAUCCAUGUCCUGAACAAAAAUGAGCAUGCUCUUGAUAUGGCUGCAGCACUUCAUCACCAAUUAGGAGAUACUGACAAGCCAAACAAUGGCAAUGCCUCAGUGAAGUAGAGAACUGAUGUGUUACUUCUUGGUGAUCGCUUUGGAGAUCUAGGAAUGUCUGAUGGUUUGAACUAU